UCCUGUUUUGCUCUGAACAUCGCCC
rnacentral:piRNA from 1 species